CACACGUGUGUUCUACAACUCUGCCGUUCACAUCGUACCGUGUUUCCGGGGUGUUGCCGCAAGACAAUGAUGUGGUUUCACGUUGCUCUUUCCCACAAGCUUUUACCGGGCUGCGAUGGAGCGAAGAAGGUCCAUGGACAUGGUUCGUCUCGUUCGACGAGCGGCGAACGUCGACGCGCGGUGGGAUCCGAGAGCGUGAUGGAGGAAAGGGCGCUUCGUAUAUCAACAGAGGUUUAUUAACUUUGCUGUUGCGCAUCGAUCGGUGAGUGAGAAACUUUUAUUUAUGUUUUUGUUACGUCCAGACUCGGGGAAGGAUGAGUCGACGGAAGGGCGCAACA